AAGAAUAAGUUAGUCUCGAUGCAAGGUUUUACUGUAUUUGAUGUUCAUUCUUGAGGAUAAGAAAAUGGGAAAAUGCUUUUUCCCAAACUACCAGUAGAGGCUCAGUAAGGGUCUCAGUCCAUCCACCAAACACCCUUGGCUUAUAAGAUGAGCCAAACGGUCUUGGCUUAUCUGGGAAGCCAUGAAAACAGACUCCUCCCAUGUCACACCAUCCUCCUAUCCCGGAUGACUGACAGCAACCUAGUGACACAGAGAGUUCUUGACCCCCUCCAGCCACUGCAUGGAUUUGGUGUCUACCGUGUUACCGUGGCAUCUUGGAGCGGCUGUCAGGCCCAGACAUGCCCGUCCCUGUCCUGGAGGAGGGCGUUUCCCUAGCUGUGGCCCAAGCUUGCUCAUGUACCAACUGCACCAAAGAAAAGAUAUGUACAAAUGCCAGCAAGAGUUCAGCAAGAGCCGCGGGUAUGAGAAUCUGCACGAAGUGGGGAAGUCAAGACAACCGUGGUGCUGGACUGGGAGCUCGGUGAGAAGGGGCCCAGUCUGAUUUGCCUGUACGUGUGGAGGGUGAUGCUCGUGUCUGCAACACGUGUUAAUUGAACGAGUGGACGUUGAAACGUGCCGGCUGUCGAAAAUUGUAACCAGAAAGAGAAGCUGGACGUGUUGUUUGACAUCUUUCCCGGGAAAACGGGACCGGAAAUCCUAGGAGGCUUCCUGGAAGAGGAGGACCUCUCCGAGCUUUUACAAAGGAGACUCGGAGGCUGAAAUAUUUGCCCGAAGCCAUGCCAUGGGGAGACCUGGUCUGUUCCCACCCCAAGGCCCUGCUCUUCCCUUCAUCACACCCGCAAGACGGGACUGCUCUACAGCAGAGAGAGGGGGCCACCUCCCACCCGGCCCCAGCCUCUCCUCCUCCCAGGUGAGCGGACUGGCAUGAC